GUUAUAUGGUCAAGUGAAGAAGCGCAUACGGUGGAUGCCUUGGCAGUCAGAGGCGAUGAAAGACGUGGUAGCCUGCGAAAAGCUUUGGGGAGUCGGCAAACAGACUGUGAUCCAGAGAUCUCUGAAUGGGGGAACCCACCUAGGAUAACCUAGGUAUCUUGUACUGAAUCCAUAGGUGCAAGAGGCGAACCAGGGGAACUGAAACAUCUAAGUACCCUGAGGAAAAGAAAUCAACCGAGAUUCCCUAAGUAGUGGCGAGCGAACGGGGACUAGCCCUUAAGUUGAUUUGAGUGUAGUGGAAGGCUCUGGAAAGUGCCGCCGUAGUGGGUGAUAGCCCCGUACACGAAACGCUCUUAUCAAUGAAAUCGAGUAGGACGGGGCACGAGAAACCUUGUCUGAACAUGGGGGGACCAUCCUCCAAGGCUAAAUACUACUGACUGACCGAUAGUGAACCAGUACCGUGAGGGAAAGGCGAAAAGAACCCCGGAGAGGGGAGUGAAAUAGAACCUGAAACCGUAUGCGUACAAGCAGUGGGAGCCUACUUUGUUGGGUGACUGCGUACCUUUUGUAUAAUGGGUCAGCGACUUAUAUUCAGUGGCGAGCUUAACCGAAUAGGGGAGGCGUAGCGAAAGCGAGUCUUAAUAGGGCGCUUUAGUCGCUGGGUAUAGACCCGAAACCGGGCGAUCUAUCCAUGGGCAGGUUGAAGGUUAGGUAACACUGACUGGAGGACCGAACCGACUACCGUUGAAAAGUUAGCGGAUGACCUGUGGAUCGGAGUGAAAGGCUAAUCAAGCUCGGAGAUAGCUGGUUCUCCUCGAAAGCUAUUUAGGUAGCGCCUCGUGUAUCACUGCUGGGGGUAGAGCACUGUUUCGGCUAGGGGGUCAUCCCGACUUACCAAACCGAUGCAAACUCCGAAUACCAGCAAGUGUCAGCACGGGAGACACACGGCGGGUGCUAACGUCCGUCGUGAAAAGGGAAACAACCCAGACCGUCAGCUAAGGUCCCAAAGUUAUGGUUAAGUGGGAAACGAUGUGGGAAGGCUUAGACAGCUAGGAGGUUGGCUUAGAAGCAGCCAUCCUUUAAAGAAAGCGUAAUAGCUCACUAGUCGAGUCGGCCUGCGCGGAAGAUGUAACGGGGCUCAAACCAUACACCGAAGCUACGGGUUCAUCCUUUGGAUGAGCGGUAGAGGAGCGUUCUGUAAGCCUGUGAAGGUGAGUUGAGAAGCUUGCUGGAGGUAUCAGAAGUGCGAAUGCUGACAUGAGUAACGACAAUGCGAGUGAAAAACUCGCACGCCGAAAGACCAAGGUUUCCUGCGCAACGUUAAUCGACGCAGGGUUAGUCGGCCCCUAAGGCGAGGCAGAAAUGCGUAGUCGAUGGGAAACGGGUUAAUAUUCCCGUACUUCUAGUUACUGCGAUGGAGGGACGGAGAAGGCUAGGCCAGCACGGCGUUGGUUGUCCGUGUUUAAGGUGGUAGGCUGGUUUCUUAGGUAAAUCCGGGAAAUCAAGGCCGAGAGCUGAUGACGAGUGUUCUUUUAGAACGCGAAGUGGUUGAUGCCAUGCUUCCAGGAAAAGCUUCUAAGCUUCAGGUAACUAGGAACCGUACCCCAAACCGACACAGGUGGUUAGGUAGAGAAUACCAAGGCGCUUGAGAGAACUCGGGUGAAGGAACUAGGCAAAAUGGCACCGUAACUUCGGGAGAAGGUGCGCCGGUGAGGGUGAAGCAUUUACUGCGUAAGCCCAUGCCGGUCGAAGAUACCAGGCCGCUGCGACUGUUUAUUAAAAACACAGCACUCUGCAAACACGAAAGUGGACGUAUAGGGUGUGACGCCUGCCCGGUGCCGGAAGGUUAAUUGAUGGGGUUAGCGUAAGCGAAGCUCUUGAUCGAAGCCCCG
rnacentral:rRNA from 1 species